CCUUCCUCAGCCUCCUGAGUAGCUAGGGCUGCAGGUGCACACCACCAUGCUAGACUCAUUUUUAUUUUUAUUGUUUUGUAGAGACAGGGGUCUCAGUAUGUUGCCCAGGCUGAUCUUAAACUCCUGGCUUCAGGUGAUCCUCCUGCUUGGCCUCCCAAAGUACUAGAAUUAUAGGCAUGAGCCACCACACCUGGCUUUGAUUCUGCAUGUUAACAAGCUCUCAGGUGACACUUGUGCUGCUGUAUCCCAGUUGGGUAGUAAGAAUAUAGAUCAAUGCCAUUUUGAGUCAGUCUCAAAGACUACUGCUUCCAACAUGAUGCCGUCUUCUUUUAUUGAUAGCGAUGUUUAGUUGUUUAAUAAAGUGUUAGAGGUUCAUAAAGGUAAGCAUCUGUGGGCCCAGGGCUUAUUUGUGCAUUGGGCCUGCUUGCCCAGUCCAGAGUUAGACUCUGAGCCUUCCAGUGUAGUCUAUAGACAUCGACUCUGACCAUGAACCUUUGGUUUCUCUAUAAUUACGCUACCUGUCUGCUCACACAUAGAUUUCUCUGUCAUCAAAAGAGGCAUAUAAUUCCCACAACUUCGAGUUCACUCCAAGAA
rnacentral:lncRNA from 1 species